rnacentral:rRNA from 1 species
UACGUAGGCAGCGAGCGUUGUUCGGAGUUACUGGGCGUAAAGAGUGCGUAGGCGGUUUUCCAAGUUUGGUGUGAAAUCUCCCGGCUUAACUGGGAGGGUGCGCCGAAAACUGGGAGGCUAGAGUAUGGGAGAGGUAAGCGGAAUUCCUGGUGUAGCGGUGAAAUGCGUAGAUAUCAGGAGGAACACCUGCGGUGUAGACGGCUUACUGGACCAUAACUGACGCUGAGGCACGAAAGCGUGGGGAGCGAACAGG